rnacentral:rRNA from 1 species
AUCCGCGAUCAUACCAUGUUGGAAACACCGGCUCUCGUCUGAUCACCGAAGUUAAGCAACGUCAGGCCCGGUUAGUAUUUACAUGGUUGAUUGGCUGAGAACGCCGGGUGUUGCGGCCG